GGAGCUUAACUCUGCAGGACACCGGCCCUCCAGGAACGAGUUUGGAGACCCCUGAUCAAAACAUUUAGAGCGGUCAGAUCAGAUAUGUCAAUGGCGAGAGUUUGGGUGUAGCUACUGAGCCAACCAAAACACUGGUGACGCACCAAAGCCCUUCUUCCAUGAAAUGUCAAAGAGGAAUGUCUACUAGAAGUGCAAUAUUAUAGCUGUGCUCACACAGAGAUGUAAUGCGCUGAAAGGCUGAUCUUUGACCUUUGAGAUUUACAGCUUGAGAAAACCGAUGAGGUGAUAAACGCAUGAUGGAUAAAUCAAGGCAAAUAUUGGAAAUAUGUUUU